rnacentral:misc_RNA from 1 species
GAUGAAGAACGUAGUGAAAUGCGAUAUGUAAUGUGAAUUGCAGAAUUCAGUGAAUCAUCGAAUCUUUGAACGCACAUGGCGCCUUCCAGUAUCCUGGGAGGCAUGCCUGUCCGAGCGUCGUUUCAACCCUCGAGCCCCCGUGGCCCGGCGUUGGGGAUCUGCCCAGGCAGUCCCCGAAAACCAGUGGCGGACCCGUUACAGGCCCUUCCCUUGCGUAGUAGCAUUCGCCUCGCAUCGGGAGCCGGCGGGCUUCCAGCCUCUAAACCCCCAUCAAGUCCGCCCCGGCGGCACCAAGGUUGACCUCGGAUCAGGUAGGAAUACCCGCUGAACUUAAGCAUAUCAAUAAGCGGAGGA